rnacentral:lncRNA from 1 species
GUCGACAUCUCCAUCUUUAAACAUGAUGGAUUCUGGUGGUUUCUGCACGCCUCUCCUUCUAUACGUUACCUGGAAAAUAUUAUGGAGUCGUCGGAGUCCAUACCUUCUCCUUCUCUCGUCGUCUGAUAAGUAGAUUGAGUCUGGUGGAAGGCGGCUCAGGAUGUCUGGACGCCGUAGGAUUCCGGACGACGAAAAAGUGGUGCCAGAAAGGGGUAACCUUGCCAGAAGACGGCGCCGGGGGACGGUGGGGCAUGGCGGCGUGCGCACGCUCCUUCGCCGAAGGAUAGUUUCUGAUCUUUCCGGAAACAGGCGAGGGGCGUACGGGCGGGGGCAGACGUCCCUUCCCGAUUUUCUCCGCCGCUCAAACCCUAAAGACGUCGAAGCGACCCGUUUUCCCGAGUCGGUUUUGCGGGAGAAUGGCACGCACGAUUUCGGUGCACGACGGCCUGAACGGCCGGUCCGCAUCUCACG